GCUUAGCCCUAAACAUAGAUAAUUACAUAAACAAAUUAUUUGCCAGAGCACUACCAGCAACAGCUUAAAACUCAAAGGACUUGGCGGUGCUUUAUAUCCUUC
rnacentral:rRNA from 1 species